GUCUCCUCCCGUGGUAGCGCUGCAAGGAGGAGUCCCUCUUGCAGCCAGUGGGAAGAGACAGAAUAAAAACCAGAGGAAAGUCGUCGUGGCUGCCAGGAGCUGGUGGCUGUCAUGUUUUCCUGCCUCUUACACUG